rnacentral:sRNA from 1 species
AUAGCCUUUCUAAUUUCGGUUAAUGGUAACUCUCAUCAGUUACUCAAGCCAAAAACCUUGGAUUCAUCACAGACUCCUCUCUUUCACUAAUCUCCUCUUUCCCACAUCUAAUCCAAGAGGAAAUCCUAUUGUUGUACCUUCAUUGGCCAGGCACUGUGACUCAUAUAAUCCCAGCACAUUGGGAGGCUGAGGCGGGAGGAUGGCUUGAGCCCAGGAGUUCCAGACCAGCCUGGGAAACAUAGUGAGACCCCAUCUCUACAAAAAAUUAAAAAAAUUAGCAGUCAAGGUGGCAUGUGUCUGUAAUCCAAGCUACUUGGGAGGCUAAGGUGGGAGGAUUUCUUGAGCCCAGGAAGUCAAGGCUAAAUUGAGCCACGAUUGUGCCACUGCACUCCAGCCUGGGUGACAGAGUGAGACCCCUGUUUCCAAAAAAAAAAGAAUAAAAAUCACCUGGUCAACUCCACUAUUACCAGCCUGGUCCAAGCUACUAUCUCUCAUUUAUAUUAUUGUAAUAUCCUCCUCACUCCUCCAACAACCUGCUGUCAACCACAGCAGCCAACAUCUGAUCAUAUCACCUCUGUUUGUGGUUCUCAAAUCUCCCCAGUUGAGUUACAGUAAAAGACAAACUUGGUAAGUGCCACCUUAUCUCUAUAACUGUAUACCCUUUCUAUUGCUCACUCCAGCCAGAUGCAGUAUCUUGCCAAGCACCCUCCUGUCUCAGGGCCUUUGCACUUGCCAGUCCCUGUGCCUGGAAGGUUUCUCCCCUAGAUUUUUGCCUGACUUCUCCCUCCCUCCCUUCAGAUCUUUGCUCAAAUGCCUUCUUUUUAGUGUAUGUAAAAUGACAAACCCAUACCCAUUCCUUAUCCCCUCCUCUGAAUUUUCUCUUCAGCAAUUAUCAGCAGCAAGUGUCCCAAAGUUUCUAUUAAUUUAUUUCUAUUGUCUCUUUCUUCCCUCCACUAGAAUGUAAGCUUUAUGAGAGCAGAGACUUUUGUUUGUUCACUGCUUUAUCCUUAGCACCUAAAACAGUGCCUUACUCAUAGUUACCUCAAUAUUUAUUGCCAAAUGAAUUUCUGCUUUAUAAUCUGAUUAUAUUUUUCCACUCUCUCUUAGAGUCUAACUAGUUAUGAUGUCUGUAGCAUACUUCUUGGGACUUCUACCAUGCUUGUGUGGCUUGGAGUCAUCCGAUACCUCGGUUUCUUUGCAAAGUACAAUCUCCUCAUUUUGACCCUUCAGGCAGCACUGCCCAAUGUCAUCAGGUUCUGCUGCUGUGCAGCUAUGAUUUACUUAGGUUACUGCUUCUGUGGAUGGAUCGUGCUGGGGCCUUACCAUGACAAGUUUCGUUCUCUGAACAUGGUCUCUGAGUGCCUUUUCUCUCUGAUAAAUGGAGAUGAUAUGUUUGCCACGUUUGCAAAAAUGCAGCAAAAAAGUUACUUAGUCUGGCUGUUUAGUAGAAUUUACCUCUACUCAUUCAUCAGCCUCUUUAUAUAUAUGAUUUUAAGUCUUUUCAUUGCACUGAUCACUGAUACAUACGAAACAAUUAAGCAAUACCAACAAGAUGGCUUCCCAGAGACUGAACUUCGUACAUUUAUAUCAGAAUGCAAAGAUCUACCCAACUCUGGAAAAUACAGAUUAGAAGAUGACCCUCCAGUAUCUUUAUUCUGCUGUUGUAAAAAGUAGCUAUCAGGUUUAUCUGUACUUUAGAGGAAAAUAUAAUGUGUAGCUGAGUUAGAACACUGUGGAUAUUCUGAGAUCAGAUGUAGUAUGUUUGAAGACUGUUAUUUUGAGCUAAUUGAGACCUAUAAUUCACCAAUAACUGUUUAUAUUUUUAAAAGCAAUAUUUAAUGUCUUUGCAGCUUUAUGCUGGGCUUGUUUUUAAAACAACUUUAAUGAGGAAAGCUAUUGGAUUAUUAUUAUUUCUUGUUUAUUUUGCCAUGGCUUUAGAAUGUAUUCUGUAUGCCUCUCUUUUGCUCUGAUACUCUUGCUUCCUGCUAUUCUGAUUGUGCAGACUGUGUAAUUAGUGGAAAACAAUCCUUGGUCUGACUGUGACUUUGGACAACUCAGUAACCCUGGCUUGGACCACUCUCAGGAGUCCAUCCUUGAGAGAGUGGGUGUAGUUACCAUUUAUACAGUAAUCAUUGCAUUUUAAAAUCUGCUCUUGAAAGGAAGAAUAAGAGUGCACCAGAAUAAGAGCGCACCAGAAUAAGAGCGCACCAGCUAACAAUGUGAUACGGCCAUAUGUCACUUAAGGAUAGAGAUAUGUUCUGAGAAAUGUGUCAUUAGGCGAUUUUGUCAUUAAACAUCAUAGCAUGUACUUCCACAAACCUAGAUGGUAUAGCCUACUACACACCUAGGCUAUUUGGUAUAGCCUGUUGGUCCUGGGGUACAAAUCUGUACAACAUGUUACUGUAUUGAAUACAGUAGGCAAUUGUAACACAAUGGUAAGUAUCUAAACAUAGAAAAGGGACAGUAAAAAUAUGGUUUUAUAAUCUUCUGGGACCACCAUUGUAUAUGCGGUACAUCGUUGACCAAAACAUCGUUAUCCAGCAUAUGACUGUAUUUGGUUAUGAAAGCCAACUGUUACUUGAUUCUGCUUUUAGUUCUUAAGAGGAUCAGGUUUUUAAAUACUCAUUUACAAGUUUUCUAUCCUCCUUCAGUGUUAAAGUAGAAAGUAAAAAGAGUAUCUUAUACAUGCAUGAAAUUAAAGCAUAUACCAAAUGC